rnacentral:lncRNA from 1 species
UGAUCAACUUACAAUACAUUUGUAACAAUGAAAGUUAUGUAAACCCCAAGUCCAUCUAUCAAUAUCUUUACAAAAGGAAGACUAUACCAACUCAAGGGUUAAAGGUUAAUGUUUUGAUUAAAUGAUUAAGUUAUACAAGUUAGAAAUAUCAAUAUAGAAUAUGAACAAGUUAACAAUAAGGGUUAGUGGGUUAGUAUAAAAAUAAUAACAAAAUCAAAAAAAUGAAACCAUAAGU